GUUGGGGACUGCCUGUCCUCUCUCAGGCCAUACCUACUGGAUCCUGGCCACUCAGGAAAAGCCAUGACUUGCAAGGAAGUUUUUUCCCCUAGUUUUUUGCCCUUUGGUGGAAAGUUCAGGUAUUUAAUGUGGGAUCGGAACUUGAGCUGAUAGUUCCCAUCAGGCAGCAAUUCUCUCCGAAGCAGAGGUCUUCAAACAUCAGUGGCAUUACAUUCAUUCAGCCAACCAAUGUGCCCACCCAGAGGGUCCCUGUCUAGUCACAUCCUUGCCAGGCUUGGAGGCUGCACCAUGGCCACCGCCUCUUCUCAGAUACCAAGUGACCAUCUCAAGUCCCUUUUACAGAUGAUGCAUGAAAGACCGGGAGGGAAGGGAGAGGGACCCCCACUGAAGGAUACGGAAAUAUCCUUUUAAACACAUGUCCCAGACCCCAGGAAGAAAAGGAGGACAAUGGGUUCCAGGGACAGAAGGAAAACAUGGGCUCUGGACUCCCUCAAUUUCCUGCAUCUACAACUGUCCCCCCGACUGCCCAACUGACACAUUCUGCUGUGAAUCAGUCUCAUUAAACCCUAUAAAGCUCAGAUCCCUAUUGUAACCACUUGCCAUUUUCUCUCUUGAAAUUGUGCUUAAUAAAGCAUGGCUGAUCCGUCGA